ACCUGCGUCGUGAGCAAAGGUACGUCACUCCGUGGCACGGGAAUCACGUGACUAAAACAACUCAUCUUAGUAAAACACAGGCAGAUGGGUGGUUGACGGCGUAGUUUUCGUAAACCUUUACAAGGGCUUCGCCUUCGUCCACUGUAGGCAGGGGUUAUCGUGUUCUCCUGGGAGGCCUUGCUUCUAAACUUCCUUGUGGCUACAAAACGCCGCAAAAUUGGCCUGCAGUCUGUGAGGAUGGAGUGUUUUCAGGGUGGAGGGGAAGUACUCGCAUACGACGUGAGACCGCGUGGACGGGAACAGAGAAGGCGUGCGUGGACCGACAGUUAUUCCGCUUCAGGGAGGGACUAUCUGUGAUGUUAAGUGUUCUCAUUAAAUUUUAAGUUUUUCAUAUUG